UUGCUGUGUCAAGUCAGUAUGUAACGCGGCAAAUACGUUGUGUGCAUUGUGGGGGAUGGUUGUGCAUCGUACUUUGCCAUUUGGUUUGUAAAUUUUGACGUUGGCAGGAUGAUUUCGUAACUUCUACAAGAAUUAACUUUGGAUAUUGUUAAUUCUUCAGAGCUAUUGCAAAUUACGAGUGAGUUCAGUCGCGAUGCUUUGUAGAAUCGCGGGAAGUGUUUUAGGAUUCAUAAAAAGUGCAAGUGCAGAAAUCAGUCGAAUAUAGAUUAAAUAUUCACCUACGUUGCCAUGAUUAGAAGGGUUGUGACUUAUUCGGCUCUAGCUGCCGGAGCCUUGGGGACGGGUUUAAGUCUUCAUGCGAACGACUAUGACGUAAACUCAUUAGGUAUAGUGCGGUUAGGUAGAGCAGCAGCCACUGUAUAUGAUAUUGGGAUAACUUAUAAAACUGAACUAUUUUACCGGGAAUGGGAUAAAACGACUGAUGAAUAUAAAUCGGAAAAAAGUCGUGUCCAUAAAAUAGCAGCAAGUAAACUCCUGGAUUUGAUCUGUGCAAAUAAAGGAGUUUAUAUAAAAGUUGGUCAACAUAUUGGCGCUCUGGACUAUCUUCUGCCUGCGGAGUUCGUACAAACCAUGAAAGUUCUACACAAUGACGCGCCCAGCAAUCCCAUUGAAGAUUUAUACAAAGUGAUAAAACAAGAUCUAAAGAAAAAUCCUGAUGAAAUAUUCGAAAGCUUCGAACGGGAACCACUAGGUACAGCGUCAUUGGCACAAGUGCAUAAGGCCAAAUUGAAAACUGGUGAAAUUGUGGCUGUGAAGGUGCAGCAUCCAUAUGUACGAGGGAACUCUCUGGUGGACAUGAAGACUAUGGAGUAUCUGGUGAAACUGAUGUCAUUUGUAUUUCCUGAAUUCAAAAUACAAUGGCUUGUAGAUGAAUCUAAGAAGAAUUUGCCGAUAGAGUUAGAUUUUUUGAAUGAAGGUCGCAACGCUGAAAAGAUCGCAAAAAUAUUCAAAAACUACAAGUGGCUAAAAAUACCAAAAAUAUAUUGGGAACAUUCAACGAAACGCGUGCUAGUCAUGGAAUACCUGGAUGGUGGUCACGUAACCGAUUUAAACUACAUCAAGGAAAAUAAGAUCGACACGCAUGAGGUGUCGAAUAAAAUUGGACGUCUUUAUUCGGAUAUGAUUUUCAUUCAUGGAUUCGUUCACAGCGACCCGCAUCCGGGCAAUAUUUUAGUAAAGAAAGAUCCUGCAACAUCAAAAACUGAUAUCGUUCUCCUUGACCAUGGACUCUACGCUAAUUUAACGGACAAGUUCCGAUAUGAAUACUCGAAGCUAUGGUUGAGCAUAUUGCGCGUCGAUCGCAAUGCAAUGCGCCUGCAUGCAACGAAUUUAGGAAUACAGGACAAUUUAUAUGGGCUGCUCGCUUGUAUGGUGACAGGUCGAUCUUGGGAUAGUAUUUUAUCGGGAGUUGACAAAACAAAGUACACAUCAGCUGAGAAAGACAUUGUGCAGAACAAUUCGAAAGUGGUCCUACCACGUAUUGCCGAUGUUUUAGAACAAGUCAAUCGACAAAUGUUGCUCAUUCUGAAAACAAACGACUUGAUACGUGGCAUCGAAACGACGCUAGGUACUCACAAUCGAAUGACAGCAUUCUGGGUUAUGUCGAAAUGUUGUGUUCGGUCUGUUUACGAUGAGGAGAAAAAGAAACGACCAGCCAGAUUGUCGAAAAUUAGCUCUACGCUUCGGGAAAAUUGGGAAAUAUUUAAGUUGAACAUUUACUAUCUAUAUUUGAGUAUAGUGAAUUUGACAGGGCUUAGUGCACUGAAACGAUGAAGGAGAGAUGGACAGAAUGUACGGAUAAAGAGGACUGGAUCCAGGAAAUUGUCAAGUACAAAAUUCAUUUCGUAAAAGAAAGUUACCAAAAAAGUGUGUUUGGAAGAAAAUAAUUGUAUGGUGCUUAAAAAAAAUCAAAAUCAAGGAUAUAUUUUAUAUGUGUAGCUUCAUGAACUUGCGGAAUUUCUGUGAAUCUAAAAUACAUUGCAAAUGACCAUGACCCCGAA
rnacentral:misc_RNA from 1 species